AGCAGUAGCCGCGGUAAUAUGAAGGGUGCAAGCGUUACUCGGAAUUACUGGGCGUAAAGCGUGCGUAGGUGGUGGUUUAAGUCCGUUGUGAAAUCCCCGGGCUCAACCUGGGAACUGCAUUUGUGACUGGCAAGCUAGAGUGUGGCAGAGGGGGGUGGAAUUCCGCGUGUAGCAGUGAAAUGCGUAGAUAUGCGGAGGAACACCGAUGGCGAAGGCAGCCCCCUGGGCCAACACUGACGCUCAUGCACGAAAGCGUGGGGAGCAAACAGGAUUAGAGACCCGCGUAGUCCCUGUCUCUUAUAC
rnacentral:rRNA from 1 species